AACAUGGUAAGUAUACCGGAAGGUGUGCUUGGUAAU
rnacentral:rRNA from 1 species